GUAGGUGGCAAGCGUUGUCCGGAAUUAUUGGGCGUAAAGCGCGCGCAGGCGGUCCUUUAAGUCUGAUGCGAAAGCCCACGGCUCAACCGUGGAGGGUCAUUGGAAACUGGGGGACUUGAGUACAGAAGAGGAAAGCGGAAUUCCAAGUGUAGCGGUGAAAUGCGUAGAGAUUUGGAGGAACACCAGUGGCGAAGGCGGCUUUCUGGUCUGUAACUGACGCUGAGGCGCGAAAGCGUGGGGAGCAAACAGGAUUAGAUACCCUGGUAGUCCACGCCGUAAACGAUGAGUGCUAAGUGUUAGGGGUUUCCCGCCCCCUUAGUGCUGCAGCUAACGCAUUAAGCACUCCGCCUGGGGAGUACGGCCGCAAGGCUG
rnacentral:rRNA from 1 species